AUGGCUCCCGUCCAGCGGCACAACAGGGGUCCCGUACCCAAAUACGCACAAGAGACUGAUUACUUCACUAUGGAGUUCAUUUAUGAUGGAGUUUUCAUGAGGACAGGAGGCAAUAGGUCCUAUGUUAAUGGUAGGAAGGUUUCAUAUGAUUACUGUGAAGCUGAUGUAAUAUGUAUGGCCAUGUUUGGCGAUUUAAUUAAGGCACUGGGUUAUGAAAGAAGGGGCAGAAUUAACAUAUACUUUUUGCUGCCCGGUAUGCAAAUCAAUGAAGAUGGUCUGCGGUUGUUAUCAAAGGACAGCGACACAACGUGCAUCAGGGCUAUGGUUAGAGAGGGACAUAGGUUUCUCAUGUUUUAUCUUGAGCAUGACGAUAAAAUUGCUGCAGAAACACAGGAUGAUGUUAUUGCAAACCCCACCACUGAGUUGCCCAAUGUUAUCAGCCCUAUGAAUUGCAGUACAGAUCAGGAGCAUGAGAGUGUUUUGGAGCAGAGCAAUGUGUCACCUAGUCAUGCUGAUGAGAGUAGAAUAGAAGGGACGAGUACAUGCAAAGGGAGAGGAAAAGCAAAGGAAGAAGAUGAUGUGUGUAGUGAUGAUGAAUCAUGUGACUCUGAUUACGUUGCAUCACUAGUAGACAGUGACUAUGAUCUAGAGGAUGGUGAUGCUGAUUUGUUCAUUGAUAGGAAGCAGAAUGGUGCAGAGAAGGAAUGCAAAGGGAAAAGUAAAGAAGUUGUAGAAGAUGACAUUUCUGAAGAUGAUAAACUGGAGCUUCCAGAUUCAGAUGAAGAAGACAUGAAAUUUAAUUUCAAGCAUUUUACAGAUGCAGAUAUGAAUGCGCCCAAGUUUCAUUUGGGUCAGGUCUUCACAUCUAUUGAUCAGUUGAGGAAAGCAAUUAGGGAGUACAGUUGCAAGGAGAGGUUGAACAUAACCUUUCCGAAGAAUGACAAAACUAGGCUUGGAGCGAAAUGCAAUGAUGGAUGCCCUUGGUACUUGUAUGCAUCAUAUGACAACAGGACACAAUCCAUCAUGAUCAAGACAUUCAAAGAUGAACACACUUGCUGCAAAAAGUGGCAAGUAAAAGCUUUUACAGCCAGAUAUAUAGCUCAUAAGUAUGUGGAGAAGAUCAGAGCUGAUGAGAAGAUUACACUUAAGGGUUUUGGGUCACUAGUGCAACAAGAAUGGAACAUGAAAGAGAAGAGGGGAAAACUUGGGAGAGCUAGGAAAAUUGCACACAACAUAAUCUAUGGAGAUGAAAUUGCACAAUACAAUAAGUUAUGGGACUAUGGGCAUGAGUUGAGGAGAUCCAAUCCAGGCAGCACUUUCUUUGUUGAGCUUGCCGAUGAUGGUCAGUUUCAGAAAUGUUAUUUCUCAUUUGAUGCAUGCAAGAGGGGGUUUCUAUCUGCUUGUAGGCCAGUACUUUUUGUUGAUGGAACCCAUUUGAAGACCCAAUUUGGUGGCAUUCUCUUGACAGCUAUUGGAAUGGACCCCAAUGACUGCAUCUUUCCAAUAGCUUUUGGUGUUGUUGAAGUUGAGAAUACAAAAAGUUGGAGGUGGUUCUUGACUGCUUUCAAAGAAGACCUAGGCAUUGUCAACACCUCCCGAUGGAGCAUUAUGUCAGACAAACAGAAAGGAUUAAUUAGGGCUGUUAAGGAACUGUUUAGUGACUCAGAGCAUAGAUUUUGUGUUAGGCAUUUGUGGCAGAAUUUCACAAAAAACUUUAAAGGUGAAAUCUUGAAGAACCAACUAUGGAGAUGCGCAAGAAGUACUACAACAGGUCAAUUUAGGGCCAACAUGGAUCAGAUGUUGAUUUUAAAUAAAGAAGCUCAUGACUGGUUGGAUGAGUUAGAUCCGAAAACUUGGGUUAGAGCUUAUCAAAGAGAAUUCCCUAAGUGCGAUGUGCUACUGAAUAACAAUUGUGAGGUCUUCAAUAAGUACAUAUUAGAAGCAAGAGAAAUGCCCUUCUUAAGCAUGGCGCAGACCAUAAAGGGGCAGAUAAUGGCGAGAGUUUAUUCCAAGAAGGAAGAAGCAGGGAAGUGGCAUGGCACCAUAUGUCCAAAAAUUAGGAAAAGACUCCAAAGGCAUGUGGAAGCUGCUAAUACAUGCACGGCUGACCCAGCAGGACUUGGGAUAUUCCAAGUUAAUGACAGAGGUGCAGAUUUUGAAGUGGACAUCAGGUUGAGGACUUGUAGCUGCAAGAGAUGGGAUUUGACUGGAAUACCAUGUUGUCAUGGAGUGGCUGCUUGUAGGCAUGACCAAAUACCUCCAGAAGAAAUGGUGCACUCAUGCUACUCCAUUCAAACAUAUUUAAAAGCAUAUGAGCAUAUUAUCAUGCCAUGCAAAGAUGUGGCUGAGUGGCAGAGAAUGUAUGGAAGAGAAAUACUUCCUCCACCAAUUCUGAAAAAGAAAGGAAGGAGAAAGAAAAAUAGGAGACAACAACCAGAAGAGAAAGAGGGAAGGGCAGGGCGAAAAAUGGGUAGAGGAGGGGCUGUUAUCCAUUGCAGCUAUUGUGGUGCUGCGGGCCACAAUAUCGGAGGAUGCACUGAUUUUAAGCUUGGUUUGAAACCAAAGAAAAAGGGCAAGGUAGUUAGAGCUGAGCCACCGGUUUCCUCUGAUUCAGAAAAUGAGGAUCCAGUCCUAACUCAGGAGCAAAAUAUGCAAACUAUGGGUAUGAGUCAACCAGAACGUACUACAUAUGAAGCAGAGGCCAUUUCUACAUUGAUAGCUGAGACACAAUCAAGCCAGAGACCGAUUGUGCAACCAACUGCUUUACCAGAAAAUGCUUUCAUUCAAGGAAAUGUCCAAAUGCAGCCCCGAGUGCAAGAGACAACUGCCACAAUCCAUGGAAAUGUUCAUAGGAAGAGAGAGGUGUUAGCUUUGGCCAAAUUGAAAGCAGCAGCCGAGAGAAGGGACGUAGCGGAUCAAGCCAAAUUUGAUGCAGCCAUGGCAAAGCUUAAAGAAGAAGAGAACAAACUAAUGCUAGCAGCUGAGCAGAGAAAACAAGAGCUGCAAGAAAAGAGGAAAGUUGCUGAAGAGAAAAAAAAAGCAAUGUUGGAGCAGAAAAAAUUAGAAGCUGAGGCAAGAAAAAGAGUUGCUGAAGAAAAAAAAAGAAAGCUCAAGAGGAGAAAUUUGCACUUGCAGAGGCAAAAAGGUUAG
rnacentral:rRNA from 1 species